rnacentral:rRNA from 1 species
GACGAACGCUGGCGGCGUGCUUAACACAUGCAAGUCGAACGAUGAAGCCGGAGCUUGCUCUGGUGAAUUAGUGGCGAACGGGUGAGUAACACGUGAGUAACCUGCCCUUGACUCUGGGAUAACUGCGGGAAACUGUAGCUAAUACCGGAUACGACCCUCGGAGGCAUCUCCUGGGGGUGGAAAGAAUUUCGGUCAAGGAUGGACUCGCGGCCUAUCAGCUAGUUGGUGAGGUAAAGGCUCACCAAGGCGACGACGGGUAGCCGGCCUGAGAGGGUGACCGGCAACACAGGGACUGAGACACGGCCCAGACUCCUACGGGAGGCAGCAGUGGGGAAUAUUGCACAAUGUGCGCAAGCCUGAUGCAGCAACGCCGCGUGAGGGAUGACGGCCUUCGGGUUGUAAACCUCUUUUAGCAGGGAAGGAGCGAAAGUUACGGUACCUGCAGAAAAAGCACCGGCUAACUACGUGCCAGCCGCCGCCGUAA